UUAAUCUGUUUGCGCAUGUCCAACGAAGAAGCCCAUUUGGCAUGGCUGCGGAUAAAUUACAAGGUCCGUGCUAUCCGGUUAGGUAAGGGUUAAGCUUAGGGACUAGAGCUAUUCACGGAUCCACCUGUACCCAAGGCCCGAGUGAGUCCGGAUCCAGAUUUCUAAAUAAUGUCACGGGUCUGGGUCAGAUCUGAUAUGAUUGUCAUGGGUAUGUGUACUUUUCACUGACUUGACCGAAAGGGCCGGUACAGAUCCAAACGCGACUGCUGCAGUAGAGAGAGGGAGAGACAUUUUAUAAUUUAUGCUGCUGCUCUUGCUUUUCACAAGAGGUAGUUUGUUGUUGUUGUUGGCCAAUCAUAAAUCAGCAAAAGCGGAAAUAUGCUACGGCCAUAGAGCUUCCGUGUGUGUCAAAAGUUAGGAGAUAUCUAAUCAAUGGAAGAUGGAAUUAAAAUUACAGAAUUAAAAGUUCAAGGAGAAGAAUAGGCUACAACGACCAAGAGCUAACAGAUGCCAUCUUUUAGAAGAAAACAAGCUACGCUGGUUUACAGAGACAAGACCAGAGGAGUGAUAGCACGUACACUCCUGGAAAACAGAAAGGAAAAUGCUGCACACUGCUUUUCAUGCUCCCAGGUCACAGAUGGUACCAGAUAUGUGACUUGUAGCAGGCUUGCUGACGGAGAACAAAUUAAGUUUGUGGUCUUACCUACAAAAGUUUGGGAAGAUCACAAAAGAGAUGACACCAUCACUGAUUCCCUCCUCUGUUACUCAGCCAGGGUCAGGGCAAGCACUGGAAAUACAACUCUGUCGGCAGAACGUCCUGAAGGAGGAAACCGAGGCAAAGGAGGAGUUGAUGGUGCUGCUAGGCAGCAUUCCAGAUGGAUCAACCAUUGCUGUGCGGCUCUCCAGAAAUGUCAAGCGGAAAUAGCAGAGAAUAAAACACCAGAUCGACGCCGACAAUGGAAGGAACCUCAAAAUGACUGGAGUAUGUGGAUGUUCUCUGGCAAGACCAUCCAGUCUGGUCCCAGGUGUCCAACAGCUUGGGAGCCAGUCUGCUCCGGGCCAAGCAGCGUGUAGUGAUGCUGCACAACAUGUGCCUUAGGGCAGCUGAGGAGAGGCACCUUAUAGAGCCACACCUACACAAUGGCCUUUUUUAUUGCCAGAGAGAGCUGGGGCUUUUUGAAGAGGCCCUUGCUUCUCUUGGGCAGUGUUAGGCCGAGCCAAUGCCUCUGUGCUGCUCCCAAAUAAAAUGCAGAACAGAUUGAACUUCCAGCAAGCAUUUACAAUGUUGGCUGGGGGUGGUAUGGUCAGGACUGAUGUAGAGGUGGUGGACAGUGACCCAGAGGAUGAAAGUGGUUAAGGAAUGACUGUCUGUUUGAAGUGGUAUCGUUUGAGUUAGAUAUUAUUCCUGUUUUCCCAAGAUAUUUUUAUGGAAAUGGUAUCGUUGGAGUUAGAUUAGAUUAUUAUAUUAUAUUCCAGUUAUGAACUAUUGUCACGGGUUUCGUCGGUGAAGGAGGACCAAAAUGCAGCAGGACUGUGUUUGUUCAUUUUGAACAUUUAUUAAAUCAAAACGAACACAAAAACAACAAACAAGAGAACGAACGAUCCACUGACAGUCUGGCAAGGCACAAGGCUAAACACAACAAUUUCCCACAAACACACCCAACUAAUAUAGGACUUCCAAUCAAAGGCAACACCACACAGCUGCCUUCAAUUGGAAGUCCAC